GGAGAAGGGGAUCUGGCUGCGACAUCUGUCACCCCAUUGAUCACCAGGGUUGAUCUGGCUGAUCUGGAUGCCUAGGUGGGUGUCCCCCUUCCUCCCUCACCGCUCCAUGUGCAUCACUAGUGAAGCUGUGAGCUCAGUCAGAGAAGGACCAUACCCAAUAGAGGAGGACAGUUUCCUCUGUCAAGGGUAUAUAAGUAGUUUCACUCCCCUGCUAGACCCUCCAAACAAGCUCUCAAAAGUUCAAGGCCUGGGCCUGGGAUUUACCUCAGUGGUGCUGCGCCUGCCUCCCAAG
rfam:Heterocephalus glaber contig138221, whole genome shotgun sequence.